rnacentral:rRNA from 1 species
GAUGAACGCUAGCUACAGGCUUAACACAUGCAAGUCGAGGGGCAGCAUUUCAGUUUGCUUGCAAACUGGAGAUGGCGACCGGCGCACGGGUGAGUAACACGUAUCCAACCUGCCGAUAACUCGGGGAUAGCCUUUCGAAAGAAAGAUUAAUACCCGAUGGUAUAAUCAGACCGCAUGGUCUUGUUAUUAAAGAAUUUCGGUUAUCGAUGGGGAUGCGCUCCAUUAGGCAGUUGGUGAGGUAACGGCUCACCAAACCUUCGAUGGAUAGGGGUUCUGAGAGGAAGGUCCCCCACAUUGGAACUGAGACACGGUCCAAACUCCUACGGGAGGCAGCAGUGAGGAAUAUUGGUCAAUGGGCGCAGGCCUGAACCAGCCAAGUAGCGUGAAGGAUGACUGCCCUAUGGGUUGUAAACUUCUUUUAUAUGGGAAUAAAGUUUUCCACGUGUGGAAUUUUGUAUGUACCAUAUGAAUAAGGAUCGGCUAACUCCGUGCCAGCAGCCGCGGUAAUACGGAGGAUCCGAGCGUUAUCCGGAUUUAUUGGGUUUAAAGGGAGCGUAGGUGGACAGUUAAGUCAGUUGUGAAAGUUUGCGGCUCAACCGUAAAAUUGCAGUUGAUACUGGCUGUCUUGAGUACAGUAGAGGUGGGCGGAAUUCGUGGUGUAGCGGUGAAAUGCUUAGAUAUCACGAAGAACUCCGAUUGCGAAGGCAGCUCACUGGACUGCAACUGACACUGAUGCUCGAAAGUGUGGGUAUCAAACAGGAUUAGAUACCCUGGUAGUCCACACAGUAAACGAUGAAUACUCGCUGUUUGCGAUAUACAGUAAGCGGCCAAGCGAAAGCAUUAAGUAUUCCACCUGGGGAGUACGCCGGCAACGGUGAAACUCAAAGGAAUUGACGGGGGCCCGCACAAGCGGAGGAACAUGUGGUUUAAUUCGAUGAUACGCGAGGAACCUUACCCGGGCUUAAAUUGCAUUUGAAUAUAUUGGAAACAGUAUAGCCGUAAGGCAAAUGUGAAGGUGCUGCAUGGUUGUCGUCAGUUCGUGCCGUGAGGUGUCGGCUUAAGUGCCAUAACGAGCGCAACCCUUAUCUUUAGUUACUAACAGGUCAUGCUGAGGACUCUAGAGAGACUGCCGUCGUAAGAUGUGAGGAAGGUGGGGAUGACGUCAAAUCAGCACGGCCCUUACGUCCGGGGCUACACACGUGUUACAAUGGGGGGUACAGAAGGCAGCUACCUGGUGACAGGAUGCUAAUCCCAAAAGCCUCUCUCAGUUCGGAUCGAAGUCUGCAACCCGACUUCGUGAAGCUGGAUUCGCUAGUAAUCGCGCAUCAGCCAUGGCGCGGUGAAUACGUUCCCGGGCCU